CCUUACACCCAAAUCUCUUUUACACACCUGUUGACCACAUGUUUAAUUUUAUAUACCAAACGUUUCAAAUAUGUGUCAACUACACACUACUUUUGACCACCCUACUUAAUAUUCAUUGUUGUGUAUACACGCGUAUCUUUGAAUUAAGAAACACCCUUUUAAUCAACUGAAACCUUUACAGAACCAACCCGCUCAAAUUAAAAAAAAAUAACAAUCAGUGCACCACCUUCCCCACCAUAGUACUGCCUUCUCCGCCAUUGCAAUCCCUUCUUCUUUGUAAAGAAAACUCCACCACAGUUACCACAAAACUACUAGCUGUAACACCCAAAUAGAUACACACAAAGAUCAUACCGAAAAAACUUCACCCGUCGGAAUUUCACCUGAAACUCCAUCUUCGACCCUCCCUUUUCUUUCUGUCGUUAUUUUUUCCUUUCACAAAGCUAGAAUGAUGAGCCAAAAGAAAAUAAUG
rnacentral:lncRNA from 1 species